rnacentral:tRNA from 1 species
GGCGCGGUGGCCGAGCGGUCAGGUGCCUGGGUUCGCAGCCAGGGGGAUACCGGUUCGAUUCCGAUCCGCGCCUCCA